rnacentral:lncRNA from 1 species
UCUCAUUCCUCUCCUCCGUUGCGCGAUAGCCUCCCCUCCCUUGUUUCACUGCGUUCUCUGGCCACCGGCCACGGAUUCCGGCAACCAAGCACUCAAACUUCAAGUGCUCGAUGAGAGGAACCCGCCCAUGGUCUUCAUUCACGCAAUUGAGGCCUGAAGUACGAGAGAUCACUUUCGAGAAGGUCGCACCUCACCGUUUUCUUCUUCAGGCGAUCUACGCCGUUCCUGGCGGCUUCAAGGCGAGGGACACGCGUCGAUCGACUCCUCACUUCCAGGCGAGUCUUUCUCUCCUAUCGAUUUUGGCGGUAGGGCUCGAAGGACGGAACCGCCAUGGAUGGUGGUGGCAAAGCCACUGUCGAGGCCAUUUUCCGCCAAAUUAGGCACACC